AACGAACGCUGGCGGCAUGCCUAACACAUGCAAGUCAAACGAGACCUUCGGGUCUAGUGGCGCACGGGUGCGUAACGCGUGGGAACCUGCCCUUAGGUUCGGAAUAACUCCCCGAAAGGGGUGCUAAUACCGGAUAAUGUCUUCGGACCAAAGAUUUAUCGCCUUUGGAUGGGCCCGCGUUGGAUUAGCUAGUUGGUAGGGUAAAAGCCUACCAAGGCGACGAUCCAUAGCUGGUCUGAGAGGAUGAUCAGCCACACUGGGACUGAGACACGGCCCAGACUCCUACGGGAGGCAGCAGUGGGGAAUAUUGGACAAUGGGCGAAAGCCUGAUCCAGCGAUGCCGCGUGAGUGAUGAAGGCCUUAGGGUUGUAAAGCUCUUUUACCCGGGAUGAUAAUGACAGUACCGGGAGAAUAAGCUCCGGCUAACUCCGUG
rnacentral:rRNA from 1 species